rnacentral:lncRNA from 1 species
GUUGGAGCUUCUCUUUGCAUGGCCCCUUUCUCUCAUUACUCUUACUGCGAUUGCUACUGGAAAAUCUUGGGUUAAUACUGCCUGCUUGGUCUAUGGUUUCUAUCAUUACUCUUACUGCGAUUGCUACUGGAAAAUCUUGGGUUAAUACUGCCUGCUUGGUCUAUGGUGUUUCCACUCUCACAUCAAUGGUACUGAAUUUGUGUAAAUCUAAUUUCCAAUUUUAUUUAUUAUUUUCUAAUCUAAUUGUCUUUUUUUUUAAUUGAAGAUUGUAGAUUGUUGUGCUAGCUUCAAACUAUCUCUUUUCUGG